GUAGGCGAGAUCCUUCUCUCUUUCUAAUGAUGCCCAUGUCUCCUGUAGCCCACUUUGACUACCAGUUUGGCUACCGAAAGUUUGAUGGUACAGAGGGGUCCCGCACCCCCAAGUAUAUGAACAACAUCACUUACUACUUUGACAAUGUCAGCAGCACUGAGAUUUACAGUGUGGACCAGGAGCUGCUCAAGGAUUAUAUCAAGCGCCAGAUGUGAGUGUGCAAGCUUUUCUGGGGCCAUGCUGGAAUGGGGCCCAGAGCAGGGUCUAAUACAUGACCAUUAUAGUAGCCCCACUGAAGCCGUGAAAGAUGGCUUUCUCUACUUUUCUCACAGAAUUCUGUGCAUUACAGACUAAAACCACAUUUACAUUAAAAAAAAGUAGAGAUUGCCACCAACAGGCAAGCAGCCUGUCCCUUCUGUGUUCCCAUGAUUAUGAAGCAGCUUGUCAGCAGCACGGUAGAUGCUGUCAAGCAUCUCCUUUAACCAUCACUGUGGCCAGAGUCUUCCAAGUAUAUAGGUUGUGUUCUUAUCCUAUCCUAUAACUUUUGCAUGCUGGACUUAUAUGAGCUGGAUCUCCUGACCCUAUUUUAUAGGGGAACAAGCAGGCCAGUAACCCAUCCAAAGUCAUGGCUAGUA
rnacentral:lncRNA from 1 species